UGGGGAAUUUUGGACAAUGGGCGAAAGCCUGAUCCAGCCAUGCCGCGUGCGGGAAGAAGGCCUUCGGGUUGUAAACCGCUUUAGUCCGGGAAAAAGGGCUGACGUGCUAAUACCGCGUUGGUUUGAUGGUACUGGAAGAAUAAGCACCGGCUAACUACGUGCCAGCAGCCGCGGUAAUACGUAGGGUGCAAGCGUUAAUCGGAAUUACUGGGCGUAAAGCGUGCGCAGGCGGUUAUGCAAGACAGAGGUGAAAUCCCCGGGCUCAACCUGGGAACUGCCUUUGUGACUGCAUAGCUAGAGUACGGUAGAGGGGGAUGGAAUUCCGCGUGUAGCAGUGAAAUGCGUAGAUAUGUGGAGGAACACCGAUGGCGAAGGCAGCCCCCUGGGUCAAGAUUGACGCUCAUGCACGAAAGCGUGGGGAGCAAACA
rnacentral:rRNA from 1 species